rnacentral:rRNA from 1 species
AUCUACAGGUAUACCACACUGAAUGCACCCCAUCUUGUCUGAUCUUGGAAGCUAAGCUUGGUUGGGCAUGAUUAGAACUUGGAUGGGAGAUUUUAAAUUCUCUGAGAUC